rnacentral:rRNA from 1 species
GGAAUUGUUCGCAAUGGGCGCAAGCCUGACGACGCAACGCCGCGUGGAGGAUGAAGGUCUUCGGAUUGUAAACUCCUGUUGACCGGGACGAAUGGCCCUGGACCUAAUACGUCCGGGGAGUGACGGUACCGGUUGAGGAAGCCACGGCUAACUCUGUGCCAGCAGCCGCGGUAAUACAGAGGUGGCAAGCGUUGUUCGGAAUUACUGGGCGUAAAGGGCGCGUAGGCGGCCGCCUAUGUCAGACGUGAAAUCCCCCGGCUCAACCUGGGAACUGCGUCUGAUACUGGGUGGCUUGAAUGCGGGAGAGGGAUGUGGAAUUCCAGGUGUAGCGGUGAAAUGCGUAGAUAUCUGGAGGAACACCGGUGGCGAAGGCGGCAUCCUGGACCGACAUUGACGCUGAGGCGCGAAAGCUAGGGGAGCAAA